CCUAUAAGACUGGGAUAACUUCGGGAAACCGGAGCUAAUACCGGAUAACAUUUGGAACCGCAUGGUUCUAAAGUGAAAGAUGGUUUUGCUAUCACUUAUAGAUGGACCCGCGCCGUAUUAGCUAGUUGGUAAGGUAACGGCUUACCAAGGCGACGAUACGUAGCCGACCUGAGAGGGUGAUCGGCCACACUGGAACUGAGACACGGUCCAGACUCCUACGGGAGGCAGCAGUAGGGAAUCUUCCGCAAUGGGCGAAAGCCUGACGGAGCAACGCCGCGUGAGUGAUGAAGGGUUUCGGCUCGUAAAACUCUGUUAUUAGGGAAGAACAAAUGUGUAAGUAACUAUGCACAUCUUGACGGUACCUAAUCAGAAAGCCACGGCUAACUACGUGCCAGCAGCCGCGGUAAUACGUAGGUGGCAAGCGUUAUCCGGAAUUAUUGGGCGUAAAGCGCGCGUAGGCGGUUUCUUAAGUCUGAUGUGAAAGCCCACGGCUCAACCGUGGAGGGUCAUUGGAAACUGGGAAACUUGAGUGCAGAAGAGGAAAGUGGAAUUCCAUGUGUAGCGGUGAAAUGCGCAGAGAUAUGGAGGAACACCAGUGGCGAAGGCGACUUUCUGGUCUGUAACUGACGCUGAUGUGCGAAAGCGUGGGGAUCAAACAGGAUUAGAUACCCUGGUAGUCCACGCCGUAAACGAUGAGUGCUAAGUGUUAGGGGGUUUCCGCCCCUUA
rnacentral:rRNA from 1 species